CAGAGAUCUUUCUGCCUCAUUCCCAAGUGCUGGGAUUACAGGUCAGCAGGUGGAUUACCUUGUCAGAGGGCGGGGUGGCUGCGCAGGUAUUUUGAUAAAUCGGACGGAUGCAGCGACAGGGAAGAGGUCAGCCGUAUCCUCGCAGGAUUGGAAGAGAAUGUAGGGAAACCUACAUUAGGAAUAAAGCCAACCCACAGGGAAGAGGCACUGAGAGAUGAAGGGGAAAGAUUCCUGCCCAGGACCCCAGAAUGAGCUGUGGCGACUUUUCCACUCUUUGCCUAAUAGGACUGUGACACCUUACAGAGAAGCCUUCGACAUAAGGGUGUUGUCACCACGUCAGAGCUCACGAGAUGCCCA